CCUUUCAGUUCACGCCAUUUUGUAUUUUGCAUUUAAAGUUCGUUGUUCUGUGUAUUCUAUAACCAAAGAGCUCUCUACUUGACGAAGUACAUACAGAGCAACGAAACAUACAGUGUUAGCGUGAUUCCAACUGUUAAUAACAUCAAUACUGUGAGAAAACGGGCAAAAGAGGGACAUCAGAAAUGAAUUUUGUGGAAUCUACAACACUCCUCGCACUCAUUCUUUGGUUUUCCAGAGUUGCAUCGGUGCCUGAAGUAGACAAAGAUGACUUUAAAGUAUUACCUCGAGGUCAGAAGUGCCCAAGUGAAGGAACAAUGGGAUGUAAACCUUCACAGAUAGAAGUUUGUAUGCCAUACUACACCAAGGACAGAUAUGUAACCGUAUGCAUUGCCAGUAAUCUUACAAUAUACUUAUGAGAGAUGAGGCAGUUGCCCGUUUCUCACAAAAUCUUCUAAUGAAACGUUUGUUAUCAAUGAGAAACACUUUAAGGACUUAAAGAAUUGCACCGUUAUUAAACUGCAAGAUUUCAAAAUGUAUCCUCAAUGUAUGGCUCUGGAAGGACAGUUCGAGUCUUCAUCAGGACAAAGCAAUCAUGGUUCGACCUCGGUGCUUGUUACAGCUGCUUGUAUUAUUGUAGUUGCAAUAAACUUUAUAUUAUGGAUAAAAGUAUAGGAAUCAGAACUCUACGGAUUUCACUGGAUUUCAUGAAGUCAUUCAUCGAUUAAUUUCUAGUAGUGUCGCUUCCUCACUGAUUCAGGAACAUUUGAAUAUAAAAUAGCAGAAUAUCUUACAUAUCGGAUCACAUUUUGUUUGUCGUAUUCUAUCUGUUCGUCUGUCUAGCUGUAUGACAUUGAAAUUCUCCACUAGACCAAUUUGAACGUUUUGAGUGUUUUACAAGUACAUAUUUAGAAGUAAAUCAUUUUAAAAAAAAUUGAGAUGAGCAGUGACAUCAUUAGUUCUAUUGAUGCUCAACUAUCAUUUGGCAACGAAAAAAUUCAUACAUUUUAGUUUUAAAAAUUGAUGUUUGUAUAUCUUUAUAUGGAACUCUUCGAAAGGAGGUCGAAAUAGUAUGAAAAUGGUCACCCCAAGCCUCUUUAAACCCACCUUUAUUUGUAAUAUAACCCACCUUUAUGUGAACACUGAAAUACUUAACUGAUUGUUUCUUGCUUUGUGUAUUUUCAUUGUCUAUCAUUAAAUCAUAUUUGCAUUUUAACUUCGUGUUAAUGGGUAAGCUUGCUUCAUCAAAACACUAGAGCUAAAUAAGUUACUUAAUUUGAUAAACAUGAACACUUGUCUUUUAUUAAUGAUUUGUUUUUGUUUAAAUAUUCUAGUGAACACGAAAUAAAAGAAACCACAGAGCCUUCCACCUGUGUUUACUAUUUUUAUGACUUUAAUGACUAAAGAUUAACUGACUUUAGAUAUUAAGGGCAGAUUAACAACAUAAAUGUAUGACAAACGUGAUGAUUUCAGCUUUUCAAUUAUCAACUUCUCUUAUUUUGUAAAUAUAUGUGGCUAUCUCAGGUAUGCAUAUGGUGGUAAUUUCUUCUAACCUUAUUCUUUUCUAAAGAGCAUGCUAAUUGUUAAACGAAGGCAGAUUAGUGACACAUAUUUUUUUCACACAACUUACAUAACAUUAUAUAAAUAUAUCAAGUUUCAGAAGCCAAAGUCUGUUUUGAGAGAGAGAGAGAAAGAGAGAGAGAGGGGCAUGCUCUUGAGGAUCUUACGAAAUCAUGACCCCCAAACGAGACUGCUGAUAUUCUUGUUUCAUAAACUUGUUUGUCAAUAAUUUACCUCGUUUUAGAUAUUUUUCAUAGGUAGAGCAAGCUCUUGCGUAUGGAAACAAUUGAGAAAUAUUAACUCCGUGCAGGUGAUGAAGGUAUAUUGCUGCAUAAUUAAGAGAAGUUGACGGUUGAAAAGUUAAAGUCAUUACGUUUAUCAUAAAAAUUGGUUGUUAAAUUACCAUGAAUG